rnacentral:tRNA from 1 species
CGGUAUAGCUCAGUUGGUAGAGCGGCGCAUUCGUAAUGCGUAGGUCGCAAGUUCAAGUCUUGUUGCCG